rnacentral:lncRNA from 1 species
AUAUUUAAAUAUGUUCUAUGGUAAAUUCAAAUAAGCAUCACAAUAGAAAAUAAAUAAUAAAUAAAAUCAUUAAGAUUUUCUAUUAGUUUCAUCCAUGAACAUUUGUCAACCUACAAUAUAAUUAAAAAUAAAUCCAAAUCAUUUUCAAUAUCAAGACAAACAAGAAACAAUUACUUAUUGCAUGAACCAUUUAAAAUUCCACUUGAUAUUUAUGAAAGUUACUUACACUACUUUUAUAAUAAAUUAGUACACAAGCAUGCAUCAUAAGUCAAACAUAUUCAUACUUAUCAAGAUUUACAUCUAAAUUAUUAUAGAUUGAUAUAUAGUAAAGUCAUGAAAAAUACAUGAACGACCAUUUCUACUCACCUUUUGAAAAUUCCGAAGUCUUGAGAAUGAAAACAAAUUAAAAGAAUUAUAUUCUUUGUUACCCACUUCAAAAUAAUAUGGAAGCAUGUACCAAAUACAUUUAAAGUAAUUGAAUUUUUUUUUUUCAACUAUGCUAACAAUAAACAUUUUAAAACUUGUAUGUUGCUAAUGUUCAGUUCAUGCACCACGUGUUGCAUUCAUUUGGUUGUUUAACACUAUUCCUUCUCACCGCCUGAUUGUCUGAUCAUGUCUUUCUAAUUCAUUUUUGAAUUUCAUACUUAAAAUAAUUAAAGUAAAAUAUCGAAACUCAAUAAGUACUUCCUAGAUUUCAUCAAACUUGAAAUCCCAAAGAUUGUUCCAAAAGAUUCAAUCACUGCAUCGUACAGGCCAUAUAUAUUUCUUGAAAACCAUUAUAUAUAUUUAUAUGUUUAAAUAUGUUUUUAAUCUUACAAAAAAGUUUAGUUUUGAUUUUAAUCUUUGUAAUUUUUUAUUUAUUUAUACUACUAUAAAUUUUAACAAGUUUUAAAAAAGUCAUUUAUGAAUAAUUUUUAAUAAAAAAAUGAUGAUAUGACUAAUUUUGGAUGAAGUUACACAAUAUUUAAUUAAAAACUAAUAAUUAAUUAACCAAUUAAAUCAUAGAAACUCAAUAAUCUUUAUUUUCAACUCCAAAUUUUUUAAUAAAAACUGAACAACAUUCAUCUUCAAUCCUAAAUUCUUCAUCUUCAAAUAACAAAUUCUCAUAUCUUGAUCCAAACUCUAAAAAUUCUAAUCUCUCAGUUUUCUUACACAACACAUAUAAUAUGUCUUUAUAUAUGAAUAAUUGAUUCAUCUAGAUGAUUUUAUAUCAUAAAAUCGCAUGCCACAUCAUUUGAAAUAUAUCAAAUAAUCAGUUUUUAGUUCAAAAUUUGUGGAAUUAGUGACUAAAAUUAUUAACUUUUAAAAUAGAAGGACCAAUUUUGUGAAUUAGUAAAAAUAUAUAGAUCAAAACUGCAAUUAAACCUAAAAAUUGAAAUGAUAAUUCAUUUUAGGAUAAUUUUCUUAUAAUUAUUUUUUAGGGUAUGUUUGGUUCAAUGUAGGGGAAAGGAGAUAUUUUUAUGUAGAGGAUGGGAGAAGAAGUAGAGAUAUAUUUGGUUCAAAAGAAGAAGAAAAAAUAUUUUUAAUGAUAAUGUGUUUAGUUCAAGGGAAUGUGAGAGAUUUUAAAUAAUUUAUUUUUUUUGUUAUGUUGAAUCUCUCUUAUCUCCUCAAAAUCUCAAAUUGGUAGAUAGUAAAAAUCAUUUUAGGUAGAAUUUUACUCCUUUCUUUCAAAAAUAAUGAACCAAACAUUAUCUAAAAUAUUUUCUCUUCUCUCCUCCCUUGCAUCUAUCUCUAACCAAAUACACUUUAGUCAUGUAAAUAGAAAAUACAAAAAUUCAAAAAUUCCUUUUAUAUAUUACAAACAAAAGUAAAUAAUUAUUAUUUUAUAUAACACGAACAAGACAAUAAUAAUUAGUAUAUAUAAUAAAAAAUAAAACUCUACAAAGAUAUUAAAAUUCUUUUUAUCUUUUCUUAUUACUUACCAUAAAAAAAAAAAUGAAAUAUCAAAAAGUGAGGAAAAAAAUAUGUGUGCACUAUGAGAGCAGAGCAAGGCAGUUUUGUUUCCAUGAAAUCCACACACGAAAAGUGGAAUCGUCUUAUUCUCAGUUCUUCAAGAUGGCUAGCAUAGACAACACAAUCGAAGCUCCAACCAUAGCCACCGACCUUGUAACAAAUCCGACAGCUCCGACAUCAGGACUUGGAGCCGGAGCCGACGAAGGACUGAGGUCUUGUGCUGAGGCUACGACGGCAAAGACAACGACAAAAAAGGAGAAUAGCUUCAUUGUAGCUGAUGAUGCCAUUUUAAAGAAAGAUGAAAAUUAGAAAUGAAAAUAGUGAAGAAUUAUGAAUUAAGGAUAAGUUGUGUAGAUUGUUGUUUGAUGAAUUAUUUUUAUGAAAUGAUUCGGGAGUAUUUAUAAAGAUUGCUGACACAAGUGGGGCCCACAGAAAACGUGGACAGCUGGAGUAUGGGAAACAAUUAUGCCGACGUUGUAUCAUGUGAAUGUGUCGGGUCGUUAGAUGUUUGUGUACGUUUGUGCGCUGUGUUUAU